GAUGAACGCUGGCGGCGUGCCUAAUACAUGCAAGUCGAGCGAACAGACGAGGAGCUUGCUCCUCUGACGUUAGCGGCGGACGGGUGAGUAACACGUGGAUAACCUACCUAUAAGACUGGGAUAACUUCGGGAAACCGGAGCUAAUACCGGAUAAUAUAUUGAACCGCAUGGUUCAAUAGUGAAAGACGGUUUUGCUGUCACUUAUAGAUGGAUCCGCGCCGCAUUAGCUAGUUGGUAAGGUAACGGCUUACCAAGGCGACGAUGCGUAGCCGACCUGAGAGGGUGAUAGGCCACACAGGAACUGAGACACGGUCCAGACUCCUACGGGAGGCAGAAGUAGGGAAUCUUCCGCAAUGGGCGAAAGCCUGACGGAGCAACGCCGCGUGAGUGAUGAAGGUCUUCGGAUCGUAAAACUCUGUUAUUAGGGAAGAACAAAUGUGUAAGUAACUAUGCACGUCUUGACGGUACCUAAUCAGAAAGCCACGGCUAACUACGUG
rnacentral:rRNA from 1 species